GCUGCCCACCACCAACGCUCCAGUGAGUGGAGGUGGGGACAACCGCAGUGACGGGGUCCCAGGGUGGGCAAUUGCUUUACUCGUGCUGGCCUGCAUCAUCCUCUUGCUCCUCAUCAUCCUCCUCAUCAUCACGCUCAUCCGAUGGUGCUGUGCAGAUGACAAGCCAGAUCCUGAAGACCCACCAGAGCCCCAGCACACUCCCUAUGCGAGAACCACAUUCAAAGAACCACUUUCCACACCCAGCUACAGCCCGCAGACCCCACAGAAGAGCCCCAUCCUCUCACCCUUCGAGGACCCAACGAAGCCCAAAGUGAACCGAACAGGGUUGUACGUGGUGAAUCCAGAGACAUGAUGAAGAAGCACAGCAGUGCAGUCAGAGAGAUUGUGUGGAGCUGAGGGUUGUUUGGAUUUCUGAGGACUGUAAAACGCUGUGGAUGCCCAUCACCCUUUGACGCCUCCUUUUCAACACCACUGCCUCCAGACCAUGAAAAAGGGAAAUGUACAACUGCGAGGAAACGUCUGUGAACCCUUUGGAAAUUAUCUGGAGUUUAACGCAUUAAUGGUUCCUAAAAUGUGAUCUGAUCUUCAUCUAAAU